rfam:Intestinimonas butyriciproducens strain AF211, complete genome.
ACGUGAAAAAGGCAAACCGGCCGAAAGGCCGGGACGCAAAGCUCAGGAGGCUAAGGCCGCGAGGCUAGGCCAGUCCGGCUGCCGCA